CGAUCUGGAUAAUUGCUGGUAGUUUAGCUAUUAGAGGAAAGUCCAUGCUCGUACGAGCUGAGAUGCUCGUAGUGAUUGUGCUAACGGAAACAAUAACGUUAGGUAGGGAGGAGUCCCUAACGGCGAAGGAAAGCCUAAGUCAACUGAUAUGGUUAACCUUCUGAAAGUGCCACAGUGACGGAGCCUAGGUGGAAACGCUUAGGGUGGAACGCGGUAAACCCCACAAACGAGAAACCUAAAUUUGGUAAGGGAAACGGCAACAGGGAAAUGAACCUAGCGUCGUAUGUGAAAACAUAGAUAAAUAAUUAUCCACGACAGAACAUGGCUUAUAGGA
rnacentral:RNase_P_RNA from 1 species